rnacentral:rRNA from 1 species
GACAGAGGGGGCAAGCGUUGCUCGGAAUCACUGGGCGUAAAGGGCGCGUAGGCGGGAUGGCAAGUCAGUCGUGAAAUCUCUCGGCUCAACCGAGAAACGUCGGCUGAUACUGCCGUUCUUGAGGGAUGCAGAGGAGACUGGAAUUCCUGGUGUAGAGGUGAAAUUCGUAGAUAUCAGGAGGAACACCAGUGGCGAAGGCGGCUUCCUGGACACCAACUGACGCUGAGACGCGAAAGCGUGGGGAGCGAACAGG